GCUAAGAAUAUUCCGCAAUGGACGGAAGUCUGACGGAGCGACGCCGCGUGGAUGAUGAAGGCCGAAAGGUUGUAAAGUUCUUUUGCUGGGGAAGAAUAAGCCUAGGAGGGAAUGCCUAGGUGAUGACAUGAACCGGCGAAUAAGCCCCGGCCAACUACGUGCCAGCAGCCGCGGUAACACGUAGGGGGCGAGCGUUGUUCGGAAUUACUGGGCGUAAAGGGCAUGUAGGCGGUCUGGUAAGCCUGGCGUGAAAGACUGCAGCUUAACUGCAGGGAUGCGCUGGGAACUGCUGGGCUUGAGUGACGGAGAGGGAGCUGGAAUUCCUGGUGUAGGGGUGAAAUCUGUAGAUAUCAGGAAGAACACCGAUGGCGAAGGCAAGCUCCUGGCCGAUGACUGACGCUGAGGUGCGAAAGUGUGGGGAUCAAACAGGAUUAGAAACCCCUGUAGUCC
rnacentral:rRNA from 1 species